UACAGAGGUCCCGAGCGUUGUUCGGAUUCACUGGGCGUAAAGGGUGCGUAGGUGGCAUGGUAAGUUUGAUGUGAAAGCUCAGGGCUCAACCCUGAAAUGGCAUUGAAUACUAUCGUGCUGGAGGUUUGGAGGGGGGACUGGAAUUCUUGGUGUAGCAGUGAAAUGCGUAGAUAUCAAGAGGAACACCAGUGGCGAAGGCGAGUCCCUGGACAACACCUGACACUGAGGCACGAAAGCCGGGGGAGCAAACAGG
rnacentral:rRNA from 1 species